AUUGGGAAGGCAGAUAAAAUGCCAGGUCUGGACUGCCUCUGGGGAUAACCUCACCCUGUGGGAUGUGAAUGAAUAGCAUCUUGCCUGGUAAAUCCACAGGAAUUGAUAAGGCGGGCGCAGUUCUCCCAAACAGGCCUUUUCUCUUUAAGCUCUAGCUGUGGUUUCUGCAGCAAUUUUGUUUUUGCCUUGAAAGAGGUGCUCUGGAUUAUCAGACCUCCAUGUAUGACAAUUUGUACCUGCAUGGAAUUGAAGACUCGGAGGCUGUAAGUAUUUUCAUAGAUAGCUAAUUCCCUCUCCCCUCCUUUUCCUCCUCCCACUAUCCCCUCCACCUCCCCCUGCUUCUUAUUUCUUAGGCAACGCAGGGAACAUGGAGCAGAAAGCUAACAUCAUUUUGGGGCUUGCUGGCUGCUGUGUAAAAUGUUCUCUGUGUAGUUUAUAGGUAACUGAAAUUAUUUAUUGUCAAGCAAAAAAGAAAUUAGGGUGAUGGCAAAGCAUCUAAGAGUGUAGGCUGUUUGAAUUUAUACAUUACCGGGUCCACAUUUGAUCUCACCAGGGGUAACUGCUCCUUGCAGACUGGUUUAAACUAUGCAGAAAGUGCCUAUGUUUUCCAAUACCAGGGUUCAUAGAAAAGCCUCAUUCAUUAUAUAAUACACAUUGUUUGUUGAGCUAGCAUGAAUGGAAGUUCCUAAGCUGUAGCUGUAUUAUUAUGUGCUUUCUGGCCAAACAAGCAGUGCAGAUCUACUGCUUCUUUGUUAAGGAAAUCAGAUGCUAGGCUUGUGGCCAUACAGCACCCCAGUGCAGAGGCAGUGGGCAGUGUUCCUAUACUCUACCUUGGAGGAGCGAAGUAGACUCACGUGUGUUUUGGGUUAGAGAACUGGACUCCUUCUCUCCCCUAGGUCAGGCUCAUGCAAUCUGUUAAAAUCAGGAUGAAAUAAUUUCCUGAAAUCAUACCACAGAAUGCUAGCUUUUGAAUAUAAGGUAAAGCUGAUAAUUGAAUCUUUCUUUUGACUCUUGCUGGUGGUAGUUCCUAUUUUUUUCAUCAAUACACAGAAACCUCGCAAGGUAGAAUGGUUGGGGGUGGUUAAUGGGAAGUGCUGUGGGGAGUCUGAAUUUUAUGUGAGUGCAGUGCCAUACAUGUUGCUACAUUUGAAACAGGAGUGUGUUAUAUAAGAUUCUCUGGCUAAACCACCAAAUAAACAGGUUAUAACAACAACAACAAAAAACCCUGUGGUAUACGUCAAUGCAGACGUAUAUGUCUAAUGAUAUGCUAUCCAUGAAAGAUAGAAAUCCUCAGUUCUGUUAAGGCAUUCCAUUUUUCCUUUCUGUCUGUGUGUUUGCUCUAACUCUAACUCUGUUUCCGCAAAGUCUCUCUGCAUGUUGCCCAACGUGCUCAUAAAUGAUCAGACUGUCAGUGUAUUGCAAGGGACUGUAGUCUAAAACAUUGGUGGCUGAAAUCAAGAAGGUCCACACUUGCAGGUGGGGUGGGGGAAUGGCAAAGGCAAUUAUAGGAGUUCAGUAAGCCAGCUUCCCGGGCUGGGUUCUUCAGAAGGCCUGAUCUCUUCUUCUACCCCUUCUCUGCUCACUCAGUUAUGAAACCUAUGAUGCCUUGUGAAUUAUAAUUUUUAUUUUUGGCCAUUGAUUUUAAACUUGGGCAGGCAGUGAAUUGCACCGAAGUGGACUGGAGUCAUUUUAGAAAUGCCUGUAGAAACUGGCUGCUGUGAAGAGUUGGCUAGGAACUAAUAAAUCCAGCUCCUUGUUCUCCAGAACUGUAUACAUUUCAGAUGCACUGGUUCAGAGGGGAACCAUUAUAAGUGUGAAAACAUUUUUUUUUUCCUUUGGGUCCAGUGUCACAGGACAGCUGAGUUUUUCUGUAAGAUGGGAAGUGAAGAGUGCAGUGACUUGACUCGGUGGCGGUAGUUGAUGGCAGGUAGUGCUAGGUACUGCAGUGCUGUACUCCUGGUGACUCAGUGGUGGCCAGCAGGCUGAGAUCUUCCGGGCUGUGCACAUCUGUGGAGGUGAGGAAGGUGGGAAACGUGAGGAGUGGAGUUGGGCAUCUGGCCAAUCCUCAGUUGAGAGUAUGGGAGGCUUUCAGGUGGGCGGGAUUGAAACCAUGUCACGUAAAUCAGAGGGGAAGACAGAGAUGUUCGGAGGGGUGAACUGACUCUGAAUGCUCAUUUAUUUGUUUUUAUAAGGAAGAAUAAUGUGAUGUGUUACCCAAGAUGGUGUGAACAGAGCUUCAAGCCAAUGGAGAAGACUAGGCCUAAAUAGCUGACCUGGUGAAGUGACACAUAAAGCCACACCUGGAGUGCCACCUCCUCAGCAGUCUUUCUCAGUGCCAAUGCAUUUAUGGCUGUAAGUGUGGGGGGUUGUCCAGAUGGAAGCAGAGCUCUCGGAACAGGUCUGGUGGAUAGGCGUGGAAAGGCUUUUCUCAGAUGGCCAGCUGCAGUCCGAGAAUAUACAGGCACUAAAAGCUGAGUACGGCACUUUGGUUGGGGGUGGGGGUUGGGGAACCAUCCGCAUAUGUCCUACUGUUCUGUGCUGUUGAAAAUGUCUUUGUGGGGUGUGUGGGGGUUAACCUGUGAUAAGUGAUUAUUUUCAAUGUUUUCACACAGUAAGCUUGUAAAAGAUCAUCUUGCCUAGGGACUAUUUUAUUCCGAAUAAGAAUAAAGCAUUAUUAUACACUGUUAGCACCUCACAUCCCCACAGUAGGAGAGAGAUGUUGGUACUGUGAUGCAAGGCCUUUCUUAAGAGUUUGGUCCAAAAGUAGAUGUUAUGCUCCCAGUGCCCUAGAUUUUAGUUUGUAACCUCCGUGUUUCACAUACUCUAUGUAUGAAGAGAGAGGAAAAAGAAACAUGCCGAAACACACUUGAGUCAGGCAUUUUAGAUUCUUGAGUCCUGUGGAGCCUUUUUGGGCAAGUCCAUCUACUUCUGCUUUGGUGUCCAGGAGGGUAGUUAAAAAUCUGGAUUACAAGGAAGUGCAAAAGAUCAUUCAGUGCCCCACAGCGGGGCCCUGCUUCCGAAUAGGAGAUUUCACACAGAACGUCACCUUACUUCUUGUAUUACCUUGACAUAGAUGAUGGAGUGUGUGCUUCCAGAUGAACUCAUACCUAGCCCAGGCUGGUUCCAGUCGAUCAUGCACAUCGACUCUUCCUACAUUAGCUGCUAUGUAAGAGCUGCCUAUUCUACCUUCACCGUCCCCACUGUGUGUUAAUACAAGUUCUAGCAGCCAAGAUUUUUUUCAUGGACUGAGCCCCCCAUGUACACUAUACUAUGUGUUUUCAUCUGAUUUGCAGUAGAUUUCAUUAGACCUGCUCUUUAGUGUGUACAUGUAUUCAUAAAUGGAUUCAUUGUGUAUUUUGAUGUUUGUGGAAUUAUUCUGGAAAUAGAUUUAUUUUUUCAUUCAUUAGGUUUAUUACACAAACCGAGGGAUGUUCUUAUGGGGAUCCAUGGACGCAGCAGAGAAAGUUACCACAAACCUACCACCCAGAAAUAGUCACUGUUAAUAUAUUGCUACACACCCUUUCAGAUGAUCAAUCCACAUAUAUGUAAAUAGGUCAGUCUCAACCUGCUACUGUGUGUUGCAUCCUAUUCUGUUAAAUGCUGUUCUUACUUGAGAAAAUAUUGAGCAUACUAGGACUAGAACUGGCCUGCACAGGAGACGCUUUGCAAAAUUUAAAGCUCCUACAUGGACCUUCUGGAAUUGUGAGUAGCUUGAAAUACAGAUUCUUAGGGUAUAUUGUAAAGUGAUGCCGGGGUUAGUUGCACAUAGGAUUAAUAGUUCAUUUCUCUGACACAAUUGUUUCCAUUUCCAAAUGCUUAAAUUCUAAAGCAUUUAGAAAGAGAGACCUGAUCUUUUCCUGUGAAAAAGAUGAUCAGAUCAUCAUUCAGGGCAAUUUCCAGAGAGGAAAAUAUAGUCUUUAAGUGUUUUCAAUCAUAGAAAGGAAUCCUAAUAUAUUGAUUAAUACUGUUAGAAAUUUUAUGUAUGUAAAAUUACAGCAAAGGUAAAUUUUACAAACUUAAUAGGUAUGUAUAACAAUAUCUGAGUAUAUAUAUAAAAGCACAUAUUUAAAUUUACAUGUAGAUAUGCAUUAUAAGAAUAGCUUUGUGUUAAACUAUUUAUUUUCUAUAAGCUGUGGAAAUAUGUAUGUUUGUCUCAAUGUCUGUGCACCUCUGCAUGCAUGCGUACUGUUCACCCUCAUACCUUUACCUACAUUCAUAUACAGAUAUGUUCCAUGCAUCGCUAAUUGAUGGUUAAUGCUAAGUGGGAGAUUUCUACUGUGGAGCUUUUGGAGACGGAAAAUUAGCUGCUUUUGAUGUGAACAAAGAUACCCAAGAGAGUUGAAAGGCAAAGCAGCCACAAGAGAAUAAAGGAUUGCUCCUUGCAAAGAUAUAAUAAAGUUAUUUUAAAUAUGAAGAUAUAUCCUUGUGCUUGCUAGGGAGGCAGAUAAACUUCAGACAGAAGGAUUUAUAUGUUUAGGGGCCUUCAGAAGACACUUUAGGGAUUUAGGGAUUAGAUUUCUUUUGGAAACAAGAAGGCCAGAGGUCUCUAUGGUUUGGUGGAUCAGAGCAUCUCUUCUGGAGUCAAAAAGUCUUUCUGGACUAUUUAUAGAGAAUGAGGACUGAUCUGUAAGAGAAUCCAAGGACUGGAUGUUGGCAUCUCUGACCACAGAAGAAAACCAAAUGUUGCUCCUGGUUUGUGUAAGGAAUUUGACUGAGAAAAAUCAAGUUGUUUUACUCAGCUGAGCUAUGUUGGUGUUUGGCUAGGGUGUGUUAAGUAAAUAACAAACAGGGCUUUCUCUUCAAUCAGCAAUGAUGGUUUUCUAAAAUAUAGAUUGAAAUUUUUUCUAGAUAUAAUUGGCAUGGAGCCAAAGAGAGAAAUUCCUUGAAUCAAUCAGAUCCCAUGAAUUUGCUGUUCCAGCUUGUCAAUCUUGCUGCUUUCUUGUUAAUUUUCUAUUUUUGAGUCACAGAGGCAAGAAGUCGGAUCAAUCCUCGCCAGGUACUUCUGUGUCUCCUUUUCUGCUGCUAUUAUUAUUAUUAUUAGAUUAUGAUGAGUCAAUCCAGGAUUUUAGAAUAUGGCCCUGUAACUCCCUUUGUAUGUACUCAAUGGACAUUCCAUUAUUCUGUGGCGCAAGACAUUCUGUAUAAGGGUCAGCAAUAACCUUGAAAAAUCAUUAUUUUAGGGUGAAGGUGGGGAGGCUUCCCAUUGCCUUAGCUCUUCUCUUUCUAUGGGGUUCAGCUUGGACCUUAUUUCUUUGUCAACAGUUCUCCCAUUCUGGUCACUAUCUCCCCUUUACUGUCUCUUACCCAGGUGAACAAGGCCUCCUAAGGAGGACAAGAAGAUAUAACUGGACUGGUUAUCAUUGUUCAUUCUCUUCUCGUCCCUCUCCCACUAGUCCUUUAAAAUAAUCAUGAAGCCAUGAACUCAGAUAUCCAUGACGUUAAGUUAAAAAUUGUACCAAGGAAGCGCUACAGAUAUAGGCUCUGUGUUCUCAUCUACAUUGGCUGAUUUAGGGGCCUUUCAUGUGUUUGCAUCAGGCUCUGGCGGCUGUGAAAACAGCAACAGCUGUAACCUGCCACACUAGAAAAAAUACAUUCAUUGGGUGGAUCCCCGAGUUCUCACAGGAGGCUGGGGCACUGCUGUGUAAAGCUAGCACCCCGUCCUCAGAAAAACUUAAUGUGUAAAACCUAAGGGAGCUUACAGUUCAUAUAAAAUAAUGACAACUUUGAGCUUUUUAAGACUUUGAAGGGCGUGAGUCUAAGAUAAAACUGUGUGACUAUUUUUACAGCAUGUAUUGGUAUGCCAAAAGAAGGUAGCCCAGAUAGCUCAUGUGACAAUUUUUGAGAUCUAAAUAGACCAAUACUUGCUCUUGCUCUACAUUUUAUAUUCUUUUAUAACAUAACUGUAUAGUUUUAGUUAUAAAUAUUUUCCUCUCUUUUUAAAUGGUGCCACAUUAUCAGUACUUCCUGUGUCCUUUUUUUUCUUUUGUGUCUGUCAUGAGAAAUAUUGAAAAGUCUUAUAUUUAAAACAGGACACGGAGAUUGGCAACUGUUGAUUACUCAGGAGCGUAUCUGUGUAGUUUGUGAAAAAAAAAAAAAACAGUUCUCUUAUUUUGCCUUUCUUAUGCCUGUUAUUCCUUAAUCUCUCUUUUCUUUUUAGCCUGAGCAUCAUAUAGGAAAAAGUUUCUGACCUUCUAUGUUAUUACUCUAUUGGCAGCUUUGUUGAAAAGUUUGGUGAGUGAUAAGGUUGUAGUUGAAAUUGUUUCUAGAUCUUUUUAAAUCUCCAUAAAACUUAAAAAAUUUUGCCUUCUAUUGGGCAUAUGUAUCAGCCAGGAAAAUUUCUGUUUUACUUUUUGUACUUUGUAUUAUGAAAAAAUGUUAUAGUAUAAUAGUGUCAUGAUUAAAAGUGGAGACAGACCAGGCAUGGUGGCUCACACCUGUAAUCUCAGCACUUUAGGAGGCACAGAUGGGCAGAUCAGUUGAGCUCAGGAGUUUGAGACCAGUCUGGGCAACAUGGCAAAACCCCAUCUUUACAAAAAAAUAAAAAUAAAAAAAAUUAGUGGGGCGUGGUGGCGUGUACCUGUAGUCCUAGCUACUCAGGAAGCUGAGGCAGGAGGAUCACUUGGGCCCAGGAGGUUGAGGCUUCAGUGAGGCGUGAUCAUGCCACUGCACUUCAGGCUUGAUGACA
rnacentral:sRNA from 1 species